UCGCUGAGCUAAGGGAGAAUCCUGGCGGGGAAGGAGAAAGCUCCAGUCCAAACAGCUUCAGCAGCAGAAACAAGCCUUUCAAAAACAGCUAGAGAAGAAACUUCAGUAAGACAACAAAACAUAUUUCUUGCAGACCACUUACCAUCUGUGAAUCACAACGUACUGCACAAAGAGGAGGAACAUUAGAAGUGGUGACAGCAAGGAGAAAGAAUCACAAUGACAUUAUGCCUUGGGGCUGUGAGCAUGUCCCUGGUAUAGAAAAUAUAUAUACAUUUUUCAGAC